ensembl:misc_RNA
CUUUCUGAGACAAAGGAUCCACUCCAUGUCCAACCACACCUAAAGAAAUGCUUUGAAGGAAUUGCCAAGCUCACUUUUAAUCAUGAGAAAGAAAUUACCCACAUGGAGUCAGCAGAAAAUGAAAAAGUAGAGCUCGUGCUGCGAAUAAUUCCAGCAAGUGCCAAGGGGCUAGUUGAGCAAUGGCUUCAUGAGG